rnacentral:rRNA from 1 species
CCUACGGGAGGCAGCAGUGGGGGAUAUUGGACAAUGGGGGAAACCCUGAUCCAGCGACGCCGCGUGAGUGAAGAAGUAUUUCGGUAUGUAAAGCUCUGUCAGCAGGGAAGAAAGAAAUGACGGUACCUGACCAAGAAGCCCCGGCUAACUACGUGCCAGCAGCCGCGGUAAUACGUAGGGGGCAAGCGUGAUCCGGUAUGACUGGGUGUAAAGGGGGAGUAGACGGCGAUGCAAGUCUGUAGAGAAAGGCGGGGGCCCAACCCCCGGACUGCUCUGGAAACUGUGUAACUUGAGUGCAGGAGAGGUAAGCGGAAUUCCUAGUGUAGCGGUGAAAUGCGUAGAUAUCAGGAGGAACACCGGCGGCGAAGGCGGCCUGCUGGACUGAAACUGACGUUGAGGCUCGAAAGCGUGGGGAGCAAACAGGAUUAGAUACCCGUGUAGUC